AGGAUGAACGCUGGCGGCGUGCCUAAUACAUGCAAGUCGAACGAGCUCUUCGGAGCUAGUGGCGGACGGGUGAGUAACACGUUGGUACCUACCCCGAAGUGGGGAAUAACUGCCCGAAAGGGUGGCUAAUACCGCAUAAUACCGCAAGGUUAAAGCGAGUAAUCGCGCUUCGGGAGGGGCCUGCGUCCCAUUAGCUAGUUGGUAGGGUAAUGGCCUACCAAGGCGACGAUGGGUAGCUGGAUCGAGAGGUUGACCAGCCACACUGGGACUGAGAUACGGCCCAGACUCCUACGGGAGGCAGCAGUAAGGAAUCUUCCACAAUGGACGAAAGUCUGAUGGAGCAACGCCGCGUGCAGGAUGACGGUCUUCGGAUUGUAAACUGCUUUUAUAUGGGAAGAUUAUGACGGUACCAUAUGAAUAAGGACCGGACUAACUACGUGCCAGCAGCCGC
rnacentral:rRNA from 1 species